rnacentral:rRNA from 1 species
AGUGAACGCUGGCGGUAGGCCUAACACAUGCAAGUCGAACGGCAGCACAGUAAGAGCUUGCUCUUACGGGUGGCGAGUGGCGGACGGGUGAGGAAUACAUCGGAAUCUACUUUUUCGUGGGGGAUAACGUAGGGAAACUUACGCUAAUACCGCAUACGACCUACGGGUGAAAGCAGGGGAUCUUCGGACCUUGCGCGAUUGAAUGAGCCGAUGUCGGUUUAGCUAGUUGGCGGGGUAAAGGCCCACCAAGGCGACGAUCCGUAGCUGGUCUGAGAGGAUGAUCAGCCACACUGGAGCUGAGACACGGUCCAGACUCCUACGGGAGGCAGCAGUGGGGAAUAUUGGACAAUGGGCGCAAGCCUGAUCCAGCCAUACCGCGUGGGUGAAGAAGGCCUUCGGGUUGUAAAGCCCUUUUGUUGGGAAAGAAAAGCAGCAGGUUAAUACCCCGCUGUUCUGACGGUACCCAAAGAAUAAGCACCGGCUAACUUCGUG